GUGUACGGUCCCGCGUGGCUGCGCGCGGCGCUCUGGGAGUACGACAUGGCGCGCGAGCUGCGGGCGCUGCUGCUGUGGGGCCGCCGCCUGCGGCCUCUGCUGCGGGCGCCGGCGGCCGUGCCGGGAGGAAAACCAAUUCUGUGUCCUCGGAGGACCACAGCCCAGUUGGGCCCCAGGCGAAACCCAGCCUGGAGCUUGCAGGCAGGACGACUGUUCAGCACGCAGACCGCCGAGGACAAGGAGGAACCCCUGCACUCGAUUAUCAGCAGCACAGAGAGCGUGCAGGGUUCCACUUCCAAACAUGAGUUCCAGGCCGAGACAAAGAAGCUUUUGGACAUUGUUGCCCGGUCCCUGUACUCAGAAAAAGAGGUUGCAGUGAGCUGAGAUCAUGCCACCGCACUCCAGCCUGCGCGACAGAGCGAGACUCCGUCUUAAAAACAACAACAACAACAACAACAAACAAAAAACCUACCAUAACUGUGACUUGACCCCCACAUUACGUCUUUUGUUGUAUUUCUCUCGAGGUUGGUCUGCUGUCCUGUGUAGCGG
rnacentral:sRNA from 1 species